GCAUGCGUAGUUUAACGGUAAAACUUUAGCUUCCCAAGCUAAUGUUGGGGUUUCGACUACCCUCGCAUGCUCCA
rnacentral:tRNA from 1 species